rnacentral:ncRNA from 2 species
GCCGCUCUAACGGGGUGCCUCCCGACCACAUGGCGGCCGGAGGCUGAGAGGCGUCAAAACGCCAACCCGCGGAACCUGAUCCGGCUCAUACCGGCGGAGGGAUUAGACGCGAUCGCACC